rnacentral:rRNA from 1 species
UACGUAGGGGGCAAGCGUUGUCCGGAAUCAUUGGGCGUAAAGAGCGCGUAGGCGGUCCGGUAAGUCCGCUCUGAAAGUCCGGGGCUCAACCCCGGGAGGCGGGCGGAUACUGUCGGGCUAGAGUCCGGAAGAGGCGAGUGGAAUUCCUGGUGUAGCGGUGAAAUGCGCGGAUAUCAGGAGGAACACCAAUGGCGAAGGCAGCUCGCUGGGACGGUACUGACGCUGAGGCGCGAAAGCGUGGGGAGCAAACAGG